rnacentral:rRNA from 1 species
UACGAAGGGGGCUAGCGUUGCUCGGAAUCACUGGGCGUAAAGCGCACGUAGGCGGACUCUUAAGUCAGGGGUGAAAUCCUGGAGCUCAACUCCAGAACUGCCUUUGAUACUGGGAGUCUUGAGUUCGGGAGAGGUGAGUGGAACUGCGAGUGUAGAGGUGAAAUUCGUAGAUAUUCGCAAGAACACCUGAGGCGAAGGCGGGUUGCUGGGCUGACACUGACGCUGAGGCGCGAAAGCCAGGGGAGCGAACGGG